GUUUGAUCUGGCUGAAAUCGCCAGAGCCGAGAACCGGCAGGUUGACCUGGAGGAACUCCGUGGUUGGGUGCAGAGGGCUAUCUGCAUUGCGGGCAGUGUAAAUGCCUUCCUGUCCAUUGAAAGGCGUAAAGCCAUUCUGUUCAAGAUUGAACCCAAACUGGCCAACCUUGCACUCACAGAGGCAGGCAAGGACGCCCAGAGCCUCUUAUUUGGGGACUCCUUUAUUAAGGACCAGGGACGCUUUGUGGGUGCAUUCACAGCCCUAGAUAAGGCCCAAUCCUCCAUGAAGAUGGUGUUUCAGGGGCGGGUCUCUACCAGGGCCGGCAGAUUCAGGGGUCGUCUGUCCGGCCGUUCCAAUUAC